rnacentral:tRNA from 1 species
AAUCUGAAAGCGAAAAAGAGCAGCAGAUUCUUACUCUGUAGGUGAAUUUAUAUUCUCAGAUUA